GGAGGAAAGUAGGGGAUCGCAAGACCUUGCGCUUUUUGAGCGGCCGAUGCCUGAUUAGCUAGUUGGUAAGGUAAUGGCUUACCAAGGCAACGAUCAGUAGCUGGUCUGAGAGGACGACCAGCCACACUGGGACUGAGACACGGCCCAGACUCCUACGGGAGGCAGCAGUGGGGAAUUUUGGACAAUGGGCGAAAGCCUGAUCCAGCCAUGCCGCGUGAGUGAAGAAGGCCUUCGGGUUGUAAAGCUCUUUCGGUCGGGAAGAAAUAGUUGUGGCUAAUAUCCACAAUGAAUGACGGUACCGACAUAAGAAGCACCGGCUAACUACGUGCCAGCAGCCGCGGUAAUACGUAGGGUGCAAGCGUUAAUCGGAAUUAUUGGGCGUAGAGGGUGCGCAGGCGGUUGUAUAAGUCAGAUGUGAAAUCCCUGGGCUUAACCUAGGAAUUGCGUUUGAAACUACAAAGCUAG
rnacentral:rRNA from 1 species